UCAGUGACUUCAGUGAGAGGCCCCGGCGAACAGAAAGGUCUUCAGCCUUGAUUUUAAAGAGCUGAGAGGUGUUAGUGAUUACACCGCUGACUCAGGAGCUUUGGACUGCUGGGAGCAAGGAGGUGUUCAGGCCCGGGGGCUAGCUGGUUAGCAUGUAGCUUCAGUAGAUCUCUCUUCAGCACAGUAGUCUACAUACUCUGACGUAACGUGGUUCUGGUGGAUCGUCCGGGUCGGACUCCUGUUGCCAUGGAUUCAAACAUACUUUGUCCUGGAGUGAUUUAGAAAUAAAUAAUAUCUCCACAUAUUGGAAACAAUAUGUUCCUUGACUACCACUGCUGCCAAAAGCUGCUGAGGAAAAGAAUACAUCUUCCACCGCAAUCCCCCGGAAACAACCAGAGACUGUAAUACUCUCAAGUAUUACGUGUGCAGCUUUCGGUUGGGUUUACCAAAGGAUCAGUUACCUUGGCUCCUGAACUUCAAAGAAAGGCUUAUGUCAAUUUAUGAUGAAAUGGAGUGAGCAGGCGAGAGAGACGAGUGAGACGGAGAGAGAGGAGGGGGAGAAAACCUUCGCGCAAAAUGGCCCUGCCUCCAAAUGUAUGCUUAUUAAUGGGUGUUCAAUAAAUCAAUGGAAUAUAAUUAAAUUCAAACAAUGUGAUUUCUUCUCUCUCGCUCGCCGAAAGCCCGACUCCAAACAUCGCUCUGUGCAGGGCCUGAGGUGACCCCAAUCCCCGCGGUCUAAAGGACAACUCCGCCGUCUUUCACCGGAGGGUCUCGCAGAUCCGAUAGUCAGCCAUGCAUAACAUUAGUGUGUUGUGAAGCCCACGAGGCAAUCAAACGGUGCACCGUUAAAAUGUUGACAUUGAUCUCGUUUGAUAUAUCUGAAGUGUGACAAAGCCACUUUUGCUCAGCUGGAUAUUACGGACUAUAAAAGAGAGGAUGA